CGAUAUGAUGACUUAGUUGUCGCCCCAAGCGGAUCUAUUUCUUGAAGUGACAGAUAAUAACAACCAAUUAGCCAAACACUGACAUGUCUGAUC
rnacentral:snoRNA from 1 species